rnacentral:tRNA from 1 species
UGGGUCGUCGUCUAGAGGUAGGACAACGGGUUUGGUCCCGUCAGCGGGAGUUCGAGUCCCUCCGACCCAGCCA